GCCGAUCCCCGGCCGCGCCAGCCCCGCUUCUUCUCCUCAAAACUUAGAGAUCCGGUUCAGAGGCGCGCUGUGAGCCCCUCCGCCUCAGCUGCUCGCCUCCCUUGCCUUAAACCUCGAAAUGUGUAACUCCUCGUUUACCACGUGGAGCGCAGAUUCACCUUCAGAACAUCUAACUUUCUUCCAGCAAUUCACCUGGUCUUCUCUAGCAUCACACAGGAUGCAGUCUUGGGACGAUGCAAAGAGCAAUCCCAUCUGAAGGAACACUAACAAAAAGAUAACACCAGACUGACUUAAAGACAUACUGAGGGAUUUCCAGUGGAACCAGCAAGACUGGAAGCCUGCAGCAUCGUUGAAAACAGGCCCUUGGCCUUUACAUGAGAACAAAUGCAAGUAGUGUUCCACAGCUACCUCGUUAUUUGUUCAAAGGACCUGAACCAUCAAUGCUCAGGGAUUAGUAAGAACAUGGCAAUGACAUAUAAGACUGCCCCUACGUACUUUCCUAGUUGCUGAUUACUUUCAGAAUCAGAAAUGCCAGAAGGAAAGAAAAAAAAAAAAAGUGUAAGGAUCUGAGUUACCAAGGCAUCGCUGAAGUUCACAAAAUCUAAACAAGGAACUACAUGAGUAACCACACAAGCUAGACUGAAUACUGUACACUCCUGAAUUAAACUUAAUGAACUAUCCUUAUGCCUGAACAAUCCCUUCAGACUCCAGGAGAAAGAGAUGUGGGAUAAGUGAAGAUAGUAAAGAAGCACAAGAUACUGGACAAUCUCUAUCUUCUUCAUGGAAACUGGAUUAUAAAUUGACAAAUGAAUCUUGAAAAUGCUACAGUUCUAAUUCUAUUGCUAAAAGAGAAGCAUAAUGACAUUAAUUUGCCUAAUGUGCAUUAAACAAUUAAAAUCAGAAAAUGGAAAACCACAUUGACUUUCAUGUAUGUUUCAUAAAAUGUUAUAAAAACUGACUGCAGUUGAAACACAGGCUGUUUUAUGAAUAAAACACUUUGAUUGUUCUUAGUGAUGA